ACGAACGCUGGCGGCGUGCUUAACACCUGCAAGUCGAACGGUGAAGCGCCUUCCUUUUUGGUGGGUGUGGAUGAGUGGCGAACGGGUGAGUAACACGUGAGUAACCUGCCCCCUUCUUCUGGAUAACCGCAUGAAAGUGUGGCUAAUACGGGAUAUUCUGGGUCUGUCGCAUGAUGGGUCUGGGAAAGAUAUUGUUUCGGUGGGGGAUGGGCUCGCGGCCUAUCAGCUUGUUGGUGGGGUGAUGGCCUACCAAGGCGGUGACGGGUAGCCGGCCUGAGAGGGUGGACGGUCACACUGGGACUGAGACACGGCCCAGACUCCUACGGGAGGCAGCAGUGGGGAAUAUUGCACAAUGGGCGCAAGCCUGAUGCAGCGACGCCGCGUGAGGGAUGGAGGCCUGCGGGUUGUGAACCUCUUUCGCCAGUGAAGCAGGCCUGCCUCGUUUGUGGGUGGGUUGACGGUAGCUGGAUAAGAAGCGCCGGCUAACUACGUG
rnacentral:rRNA from 1 species